GACGUAGGUGGCGAACGUUAUCCGGAAUUAUUGGGGCGUAAAGGGUGCGUAGGCGGCAUGAUAAGUUAUUGGCGGCAAAUCGAGGCUCAACCUCGUGGAAACUGAUAAUACUGUCUUGCUUGAGUGCAGAAGAGGUUAACGGAACUCCAUGUGGGGCGGUAAAAUGUGUAGAUAUAUGGAAGAACAUCAAUAACGGCGAAGGCAGUUAACUAUUCUGUUACUGACGUUGAGGCACGAAAGCGUGGGGAGCAAAAAGG
rnacentral:rRNA from 1 species